GACCGUAGUAUUGAAAUACUACUCGGUAAAUGGCUUGAUUAAUUAAUUGACAAAUAAACACUACAGUAUUCUGUUUCAAAAAGCACUACAAUAUAUCACUUUACUUCAUCAAAGAUGUAGUCAUAAUUAGCCGAACUUCGUGAUCAAGCCUUGUAACAUUUUAGUUUUGAAUCAGAUUAUUGUUCUAAGAGCAUCACUCUUUGCCUUAAUUUUCCUUCUUAACUCACCAUUUCUUCUCCAUAUACAUGCAGUCUCCGAUUUUGUAUAUGCACUACCAGAAUGGCUUUUCAAAUAAAAAGGGAUAUUCUACUCCAAAUC
rnacentral:lncRNA from 1 species